GUGCUUGCUUCAGCAGCACAUAUACUAAAACUAGAAUGAUACAGAGAAGAUUCGCACAGCCCCUAUCCAAGGGGGGGACUCGCAAUUCGUGAAGCGUUCCAUAGUUUU